UAUCAAAAACAUGUCCUUUAGAUAAUUUAUUUAAGGUCUGGCCUGCCCAAUGAUUUGAUUUAAUGGCUGCGGUAUUUUAACCGUACUAAGGUAGCAUAAUCAUUAGUCUUUUAAUUGAAGGCUGGAAUGAAAGGUUGGAUGAGGCACUUACUUUCUUUAAUAUAAUGGAUGAAUUUAAUUUUUUAGUUAAAAAGCUAAAAUUUUCUUGUAGGACGAGAAGACCCUAUAGAUCUUUAUAAUUAAUAUAUUUUAUAAGAUUGGGUGUUGAUAUUAUGGAUUAUUUUAUUUAUUUGGUUGGGGUGAUUUUAGGAUUUAUGUAACUCCUAGUUUUUUGUAUUCAUUGCUAUAUGUUUUUGUGAUCCAUUAUUAAUGAUUGUAAGAUUAAGUUACCUUAGGGAUAACAGCGUUAUUUUUUCGGAAAGUUCUUAUUGAUGAAAAAGUUUGCGACCUCGAUGUUGGAUUAAAAUAAGUGAAGGGCGCAGUAGUUCUUUAACUAGGUCUGUUCGACCUUUAAUUUUUUACAUGAUCUGAGUUCA
rnacentral:rRNA from 1 species